rnacentral:rRNA from 1 species
UACGUAGGGGCUAGCGUUGUCCGGAAUCAUUGGGCGUAAAGCGCGUGUAGGCGGCCCGGUAAGUCCGCUGUGAAAGUCGGGGGCUCAACCCUCGGAAGCCGGUGGAUACUGUCGGGCUGGAGUACGGAAGAGGCGAGUGGAAUUCCUGGUGCAGCGGUGAAAUGCGCAGAUAUCAGGAGGAACACCUAUUGCGAAGGCAGCUCGCUGGGACGUUACUGACGCUGAGACGCGAAAGCGUGGGAGCAAACAGG